rnacentral:rRNA from 1 species
UUGGAUUCGCUAGUAAUCGCGCAUCAGCCAUGGCGCGGUGAAUACGUUCCCGGGCCUUGUACACACCGCCCGUCAAGCCAUGGGAGCCGGGGGCGCCUGAAGUCCGGGACCGCGAGGACCGGCCUAGGGCGAAACUGGUAACUGGGGCUAAGUCGUAACAAGGUAGC